CACAAAGAACGGACGGAUGAAGAGAUUCCCACAGACACCAGGACGGACCACCCCAGAAGGACCCCCAGAACAGGUCCGUCUCCAUACUGGGACCGAUCCGCCUUCCAACAUCCUGCACAGAGCAAUUCUCCACAGUGGUCCGAGCUUCACUUUCCUGAUACAGAGCUCCAAACCCCCUGCGUGAGCAGAAUUCAUGACACAAUUCUGCCACCAGUGUCCCCGAAAUAACAGCAAAUAGAGAGAAGUAGUGGCAGCCGAAGGGUUAACACGGGGCGCUUCGCCAGCGGGCCACUGUCUCCUGCUGCCUCACCUUUACUACACUUUCCUUUGGACCCAGCGAACCCGGAAUCAGCAGUUGGCGGGGGAGGGGCGCAGAGCAUUGCAUCGUUAACCCCUUUCCAGGAAAGUCCGUAGAUUACAUUCCAUGAAGUCAAGUUCAGCACAUUCCCUACAUGUGAAUGACAGGCAGAGGGCGCCGCCCGGUGGACGUCACUGGAACAGCAGCCACUGUGAAUCCUAUGGGAAUGUGAGGUCCUGAGGCGCGUCCACAGGAGAGGAGCCGGGAGCCCCCCAUACAGUGGUCGCCUCAGUACCUCGCAGCAGCACCGUCUGGGGCAGAACCGGUCAUACCCCGAAACACCGCAGGCGC